GCGGGCGUGACUGAGUGGCUAGGUACCGGUCUGCAAAACCGUUUACGCGGGUUCGAAUCCCGCCGCUCGCUCCG
rnacentral:tRNA from 1 species